rnacentral:rRNA from 1 species
UACAGAGGUCCCAAGCGUUGUUCGGAUUCACUGGGCGUAAAGGGUGCGUAGGUGGCAUGGCCAGUUUGAUGUGAAAGCUCAGGGCUUAACCCUGAAAUGGCAUUGAAUACUGUCGGGCUGGAGGUUUGGAGGGGGGACUGGAAUUCUUGGUGUAGCAGUGAAAUGCGUAGAUAUCAAGAGGAACACCAGUGGCGAAGGCGAGUCCCUGGACAACACCUGACACUGAGGCACGAAAGCUAGGGGAGCAAACAGG